AGUCAAGUUUCUAAGGGCAAACGGUGGAUGCCUAGGCAUCUGGAGCCGAAGAAGGACGUAGCAAUCUGCGAUAAGCCUCGGGGAGCCGAUAAGCGGGCUUUAAUCCGAGGAUUUCCGAAUGGGGAAACCCAGCUGGGCGGCUAGUCCGACCCAGUUACUCCUGUCUGAAUACAUAGGGCAGGGAGAGGGAACGUGGGGAAGUGAAACAUCUCAGUACCCACAGGAAGAGAAAACAAUAGUGAUUCCGUCAGUAGUGGCGAGCGAACGCGGAACAGGCUAAACCGGUCGUGUGUGAUAGACGGUAGUCGUUGCACGGUCGGUGUUGUGGGACUCUCACGGUGUUCUACCGAACACCACACGGAUACGCGUACGUAUAGACGAAUGGCAUUGAAAGGCCAGCCACAGAGGGUGCCAGCCCCUUAGUCGAAAUGCGUACCGGACGUGGAGAGGAUCCCAAGUAGCACGGGGCCCGAGAAAUCCCGUGUGAAUCUGCCAGGACCACCUGGUAAGCCUAAAUACUCCCAGAUGACCGAUAGCGGACAAGUACCGUGAGGGAAAGGUGAAAAGUACCCCGGGAGGGGAGUGAA
rnacentral:rRNA from 1 species